AAAUUCACAAACUGCAGUUACCGUACGCGGCCUAUAUGUCACUGUUCCAGUGACCUUUGAACAAUCCGAACGGUCAAACUGAAGAACCACGAGGUAUGAACCUGCUGACAAAAUUUCAGCUCGAUCCAACGGUGGACGAAACAGCAGCACGAUUCCGAAAAUUCCCGUCCUCAAAAGAAACGCUGAAAACGCUGCUGCAGUGUGAGAUAAAUUUCUCUCUGCUCAAACAACUUCUGCAAGAUCCGAACGGUCCGAUUGAAUUCACACAAAGUAUGAACCUUCUGACAAAAUUUCAGCCCGAUCCAACGGUGAACAAAGGGUCGAUGAUGGUCGGAAGUUUCUGAGCGAAGCUUUCUCUCUCUUUAAUCUUUUCUCUCUCUUUUUCUCUCACUUU
rnacentral:lncRNA from 1 species